GACCUAAUAGCACAACCGGUAGUGCAUCUGCUCAAAAUGCACCGUUGGUAAAGAUUAGGCAGAAGACCUCCGUUCGAUUCGGGGUCGGGUCA